rnacentral:rRNA from 1 species
ACUCAAAGGAAUUGACGGGGGCCCGCACAAGCGGUGGAGCAUGUGGUUCAAUUCGACGCAACGCGAAGAACCUUACCUGGGCUCGAACGGCUCGUGACAGCCGGUAGAAAUAUCGGUUUCCCGCAAGGGACUAGAGUCGAGGUGCUGCAUGGCUGUCGUCAGCUCGUGUCGUGAGAUGUUGGGUUAAGUCCCGCAACGAGCGCAACCCUUGUCCUGUGUUGCCACUCCGCAAGGAAGCACUCUCAGGAGACCGCCAGCGAUAAGUUGGAGGAAGGUGGGGAUGAUGUCAAGUCAUCAUGGCCUUUAUGUCCAGGGCUACACACGUGCUACAAUGGGCGGUACAAAGCGCUGCAAACCCGCGAGGGGGAGCUAAUCGCAAAAAACCGUUCUCAGUUCGGAUCGCAGGCUGCAACUCGCCUGCGUGAAGCUGGAAUCGCUAGUAAUGGCGUAUCAGAAUGAUGCCGUGAAUACGUUCCCGGGCCUUGUACACACCGCCCGU